CUAAAUAAUUUGAGAAGCGUUGUUUUUGCCACUGUGGUGAAAGAAGGUAAAGAGCCCCACGUGGAGGCCCGAGGUGGGAACCUGAGGCCUCUCCAGUCCACUGCUGCCAAGGAUGCACCACCCGCCUGUCUCACUUGCUGCGCUGGGGGUGUGGAGGAAAAGUGAAUGUGUUAGGACGGGAAAGAUGGUGAACUAUGUAUGCCUAGGCAGGGCGAAGCCAGAGGAACUCUGCUGGAGGUUCAGAGUGGUCCUGAUGUGCAAACUGGUCGUCCGACCUGGGACGCAAGACGAAACGAAACAUCUAGUAGCAGGUUCCCUCCGAAGUUUCCCUCAGGAUAGCUGGCACUCUCUCUCACAAGGAAAUGACCCACAGUUUCAUCCUGUAAAAUGAAUGAUUAGAAGUCUUGGGGCGGAAACGAUCACAACCUAUUCUCAAACUUUAAAUGGGUAAGAAGCCCGGCUCGUUGGCGUGAAGCCAGGCGUGGAAUGCAAGUGCCUAGUGGGCCACUUUUGGUAAGCAGAACUGGUGCUGCGGGAUGAAGAGCACACGGGUUAAGGCGCCCCAUGCCGUUGCUCAUAAGAGUCUGAUAGAAUCCUUCAAGGAAUCCAUCUGGGCCUGGACCUUAGUCAGAAGGGUUGAACGUUUUCUGGUUUGUUUGUUUGUUUGAGAGAGAGAGAGAGGUUCGUA
rnacentral:ncRNA from 1 species